GAAAACAUGCAUGUGGCAUGAUUCCAAUUACACAAUCUGAAGAAAUUCAAAACUAUAGAUAGGGAGAGUAAACAGAUUGGCAGCUUGGGACUGGGGUUGUUGAGUCAGUAAAGCACUUGGGAUAUUUUACUGCAGUGAAACUAUUCUGAUACUGUAAAGGUGAAUUGAGAUUUGAAACAUUUGUCUAAGUCCACAGAACUUUACAGCACAAGCACACGUUAAUUACAAAGAUAAUUUAGGAGGAGCCGUGAGGAGCUGAGCUUUGAGGGCCGCCCACAGCCAGUACCUGGAUCCUCACAGCAGAGGGAAAGGGAGUCAGAAAGGUCAUUGUUCUGAGAUCUAGAAGAUAGAGCAGAAGUGAACAACAGAAAGAGGGCCUCUCUGAGGCUCCUUGAUGAAAAUUGAAGCCCACUGGAAAAAGUGAAGAAAAUCUCUUGCAAUUAAGGCACACCAGGCCACCAUAGUUGUAUCAGGAGGGACAACACUCAAAGGCACCUGUGGGCAUGCUGCAGAUGGGAAGCAGCUCUGGAGCCCAUGCUGGCCUGCCUGGAGAACAGGGGUGUGCUGUGGGAGUGAUAACAUGAACUGUUCAUUUGCAUUUCCUGCUUGGCACCCAC
rnacentral:lncRNA from 1 species